GCGCAAAACUUUUGUUUGUAUAUAUAGACUUCAGACAGAAAUAAGUGCUGCAAACCGUUUGCGCGAUGCAAAGCCGCAAAAGAAAAAAAUUAUAGAGCUGUGAUGUGGAGAGGUGGAUCAGAACCACACGCGGACAGCAGGGAUUUAAGAUUUGAGGUGAGUAACUGUUACAGCUUGUUUAAUAUAGCUGCAUGCUUAUGUUUGGCUAUGAUCACAUUUAAAAUAUCAAAGUGUUGUCUACUGUGCUUAAAAGCUGUGUUUCUUGAUUUAAUUAUCGUUCAAAUAGAAUAGGACAGGCUUCGCAAAACAUGAUUUGGAGAGCGUUUGUCUUUGACCCUGCGAUUCUAUGCAACAGGUGACACGUUCAAGUUCAUCAGGUUCAAGUCCAGGAUGGGAGACCAGCACCAUCUCACAAAUAGUUUUGGAUGUUCUGCUCUGUACCAGGUUAUAAAGGACGAUUUCUUGAAGACACCAUCAACGGAAGGAGACUGGCAUACAAUAGCCAUGGAC